GCUUAUCCUUGUUCCUACACCACUCCCAGACACACUUCCUAUCAACUACAAAAACCUGAGCAGCAGGAUGGUUCCCCUUCUCUUCCACUUCUUUCACAACUUCUAGCUUGAACGCUGCCAAAUAAACAUUCAUUUAGAGUCUGCACUGCUUCUCUUGCAUGCAGUACACAUGUCUAUAUUUUGCCAACUCCACCUUGCAUUCAACUGCAAACAUUUGCAUGCAGUACACAUGUCUAUACUAUGCCAACUCCACCUUGCAUUCAACUGCAAGCAUUUGUACGCAAACCAUCGUUAAUAAAUGUCCCCCUUAUCGAAAAUUUCACACACCCGGGGCAUUUAAUAGAGUAAAUACGGUAAUCUAACACUUGUACCUAAGCUUAGACUGAAAGCUGGAAUGAUAAAAGACCAUGAUGACAUGGCAACAAAAGAAAUACAAAUGAAACAGCAUUCAAUCUAUGGAAUGUAGGCUGAACUCAAGCUUGUGAGAA